rnacentral:rRNA from 1 species
UACGGAGGGUGCAAGCGUUAAUCGGAAUUACUGGGCAUAAAGCGCACGCAGGCGGUUGGAUAAGUUAGAUGUGAAAGCCCCGGGCUCAACCUGGGAAUUGCAUUUAAAACUGUCCAGCUAGAGUCUUGUAGAGGGGGGUAGAAUUCCAGGUGUAGCGGUGAAAUGCGUAGAGAUCUGGAGGAAUACCGGUGGCGAAGGCGGCCCCCUGGACAAAGACUGACGCUCAGGUGCGAAAGCGUGGGGAGCAAACAGG